rfam:Triticum aestivum genome assembly, contig: Triticum_aestivum_CS42_TGACv1_scaffold_133003_2BL
GUAGUAUUCCCUCCGUCCCAAAAUUCUUGUCUUACAUUUGUUUAGAUACGGCUGUAUCUACACUAAAAUGUAACUAGAUACAUCCGUAUUUAGACAAAUUUAAGACAAGAAUUUUGGGAUGGAGGGAGUACAAA